UACCUGGUUGAUUCUGCCAGUAGUCAUAUGCUUGUCUCAAAGAUUAAGCCAUGCAUGUCUAAGUAUAAGCAAUUAUACCGCGAAACGGCGAAUGGCUCAUUAUAUAAGUUAUCGUUUAUUUGAUAGCACAUUACUACAUGGAUAACUGUGGUAAUUCUAGAGCUAAUACAUGCUAAAAAUCCCGACUUCGGAAGGGAUGUAUUUAUUAGAUUAAAAGCCAACGCCCUUCGGGGCUUCCUGGUGAUUCAUAAUAACUUUUCGAAUCGCAUGGCCUUGCGCCGGCGAUGGUUCAUUCAAAUUUCUUCCCUAUCAACUUUCGAUGCGAA
rnacentral:rRNA from 1 species